UACGUAGGGUGCAAGCGUUAAUCGGAAUUGCUGGGCGUAAAGCGUGCGCAGGCGGUUAUGCAAGACAGAGGUGAAAUCCCCGGGCUCAACCUGGGAACUGCCUUUGUGACUGCAUAGCUAGAGUACGGUAGAGGGGGAUGGAAUUCCGCGUGUAGCAGUGAAAUGCGUAGAUAUGCGGAGGAACACCGAUGGCGAAGGCAAUCCCCUGGACCUGUACUGACGCUCAUGCACGAAAGCGUGGGGAGCAAACAGG
rnacentral:rRNA from 1 species